GCCUGGGUGGCUCAGUCGGUUGAGCCUCUGGCUUUGGCUCAGAUCAUGACCUCAUGGUUAGCAGGUUCAAGCCCUGCCUCAGGUU
rnacentral:tRNA from 1 species